CGCAAGGGGAGCGGCAGACGGGUGAGUAACGCGUGGGAACGUACCCUUUACUACGGAAUAACGCAGGGAAACUUGUGCUAAUACCGUAUGUGCCCUUUGGGGGAAAGAUUUAUCGGUAAAGGAUCGGCCCGCGUUGGAUUAGCUAGUUGGUGGGGUAAAGGCCUACCAAGGCGACGAUCCAUAGCUGGUCUGAGAGGAUGAUCAGCCACAUUGGGACUGAGACACGGCCCAAACUCCUACGGGAGGCAGCAGUGGGGAAUAUUGGACAAUGGGCGCAAGCCUGAUCCAGCCAUGCCGCGUGAGUGAUGAAGGCCCUAGGGUUGUAAAGCUCUUUCACCGGAGAAGAUAAUGACGGUAUCCGGAGAAGAAGCCCCGGCUAACUUCGUGCCAGCAGCCGCGGUAAUACGAAGGGGGCUAGCGUUGUUCGGAAUUACUGGGCGUAAAGCGCACGUAGGCGGAUCGAUCAGUCAGGGGUGAAAUCCCAGGGCUCAACCCUGGAACUGCCUUUGAUACUGUCGAUCUGGAGUAUGGAAGAGGUGAGUGGAAUUCCGAGUGUAGAGGUGAAAUUCGUAGAUAUUCGGAGGAACACCA
rnacentral:rRNA from 1 species